UUAGCAGGAGGAAAAUACUUAGAGAUAAAAGCAUCUUUGCACUUAUUCCAAGAAUCAAUACUAUUUUUAGGCAAAGACGAAAACCAAGCUUUAGCACGAUCUCUAAGCGAAAAAGGAAAUAGCUUCAAUUUAACAAUAUCAUUGUCAACAUCUUUCUUCUUUUGCAUAUCACACAAAUCAACGAAGCUAUUUAGAUGAGUAGCGGCAUCUUCACUAGGAAGGCCGGCGAAUUUAUCUUUCAUGACAAGAUUCCAACAACACCCACACACUUGUCUGACACACUGACCCUCAUAAUAGUUAUUCUGAACUCAUUCUGCAAAUACUGGAAAACGGGGAAGGGAUUAAUAAAAGGCCAAACCAACUGUGCAUGCGGCGAUCAUAAAUAGCAAUGUCACUCAGAGCACGAAACCAUGGGGACUUCAGUGCUCGGCGGGUGGGUGGUAGACUGGAUCACUGGAGUCAGUGGUGUCCGUGGUAUCCACCGCCACCGCCGCCGCCGUAAGUGGGCAUGGGAGGGACGGGGUGGUAGUCUGGGUGGGGCUGCGGCUUCGGCUCCGGCUUGGGCACGGGGUGGUAGUCCGGGUGAGGCUGGGGCUUGGGCUCCGGCUUCGGUGGCACCGGCUUCUUGUGGUGGAAGUGCUCGAUGAUGUGCUGCUUGAUCGGCCCGCACAGGGUCAUGGACGCACACUCGGGCGACCCCACGGAUGGCGUGGCGGUGUUGGCGCCGGCGAUGACACCGAAGGUGGUGCCCUCGGACACCGGCACGAUCUNNNNNNNNNNAUUACAACUCGAUACUAGAACAAAGUAUGACUCUAUAUGAAUGCCUCCGGCGGUGUACUGGGAUAUGCAAUGAACCAAGAGUGACAUGUAUGAAAGAAUUAUGAACAGUGGCUUUGCCACAAAUACUAUGUCAACUACAUGAUCAUGCAAAGCAAUAUGACAAUGAUGAGCGUGUCGUGAUAAACGGAACGGUGGAAAGUUGCAUGGCAAUAUAUCUCGAAAUGGCUAUGGAGAUGCCAUAAUAGGUAGGUAUGGUGGCUGUUUUGAGGAAGAUAUAAGGAGGUUUAUGUGUGAAAGAGCGUAUCAUAUCACGGGGUUUGGAUGCACCGGCGAAGUUUGCACCAACUCUCAAUGUGAGAAAGGGCAAUGCACGGUACCGAAGAGGCUAGCAAUGAUGGAAAGGUGAGAGUGCGUAUAAUCCAUGGACACAACAUUAGUCAUAAAGAACUCACAUACUUAUUGCAAAAAUCUACAAGUCAUCAAAAACCAAGCACUACGUGCAUGCUCCUAGGGGGUUAGAUUGGUAGGAAAAGACCAUCGCUCGUCCCCGACCGCCACUCAUAAGGAGGACAAUGAAAGAACACCUCAUGUUUCAAAUUUGUUACAUAACGUUUACCAUACGUGCAUGCUACGGGACUUGCAAACUUCAACACAAGUAUUUCUCAAAUUCACAACUACUCAACUAGCACAACUUUAAUAUCACUACCUCCAUGUCUCAAAACAAUCAUCAAGCAUCAAACUUCUCUUAGUAUUCAAAACACUCAUAAGAAAGUUUUUACUAUUCUUGAAUACCUAGCAUAUUAGGAUUAUUUAAGCAAAUUACCAUGCUAUUUGAGACUCUCAAAAUAAUCUAAGUGAAGCAUGAGAGAAUAAUAGUUUCUAUAAAACAAAUCCACCACCGUGCUCUAAAAGAUAUAAGUGAAGUACUAGAGCAAAAACUAUAUAACUCAAAAGAUAUAAGUGAAGCAUAUAGAGUAUUCUAAUAAUUUCCGAAUCAUGUGUGUCUCUCUCAAAAGUUGUGUACAGCAAAGAUGAUUGUGGUAAACUAAAAAGCAAAGACUCAAAUCAUACAAGACGCUCCAAGCAAAACACAUAUCAUGUGGUGAAUAAAAAUAUAGCUCCAAGUAAAGUUACCGAUGGAAGUAGACGAAAGAGGGGAUGCCUUCCGGGGCAUCCCCAAGCUUUGGCUUUUAGGUGUCCUUAGAUUAUCUUGGGGGUGCCAUGGUCAUCCCCAAGCUUAGGCUCUUGCCACUCCUUGUUCCACAAUCCAUCAAAUCUUUCACCCAAAACUUGAAAACUUCACAACACAAAACUCAGCAGAAAAUCUCGUGAGCUCCGUUAGCGAAAGAAAACAAAAGACCACUUCAAGGUACCGUAAUGAACUCAUUCUUUAUUUAUAUUGGUGGUAAACCUACUGUAUGCCAACUUCUCUAUGGUUUAUAAACUAUUUUACUAGCCAUAGAUUCAUCAAAAUAGGCCAACAACACACGAAAAACAGAAUCUGUAAAAAACAGAACAGUCUGUAGUAAUCUGUAAGUAACGCAAACUUCUGGAACUCGAAAUAAUCAGAAAAAUAGGAAGUCCUAGACAAUUUGUUUAUUGAUCAGUAGCAAUUGGAAUCAAUAUUUUAUCACGUUCUGGUCAUUUUUAACAAUUAUUUUCGUGAACAGAAAAUUUCUGGAAUUUUCUGCAAGAUCAAAUAACUAUCAUCCAAGAAGAUCCUAUAGGUUUAACUUGGCACAAACACUAAUUAAAACAUAAAAACACAACUAACCACAGGCUCAAACAAAUAUUUAUUCCUAAGCAGAAGCAAAAAGAAAAAAAAUAAAAAUAAAAUUGGGUUGCCUCCCAACAAGCGCUAUCGUUUAACGCCCCUAGCUAGGCAUAUAAGCAAGGAUAGAUCUAGGUAUUGCCAUCUUUGGUAGGAAAUCCAUAAGUGGCUCUCAUGAUGGAUUCAUAUGGUAAUUUUAUUUUCUUUCUAGGGAAGUGUUCCAUGCCUUUCUUUAAUGGAAAUUGGAAUCUAAUAUUCCCUUCCUUCAUAUCAAUAAUUGCACCAAUCGUUCUAAGUAAAGGUCUACCAAGAAUAAUAGGACAUGAAGGAUUGCAAUCUAUAUCAAGAACAAUAAAUUCUACGGGCACAUAGUUCCUAUUUGCAACAAUAAGAACAUCAUUAAUUCUUCCCAUAGGUUUCUUAAUAGUGGAAUCCGCAAGGUGCAAGUUUAAAGAGCAAUCAUCAAAAUCACGGAAACCUAGCAAAUCACACAAAGUUUUUGGAAUCGUGGAAACACUAGCACCCAAAUCACACAAAGCAUAGCAUUCAUGAUCUUUAAUUUUAAUUUUAAUAGUAGGUUCCCACUCAUCAUAGAGUUUUCUAGGAAUAGAAACUCCCAACUCAAGUUUUUCUUCAUAAGAUUGCAUCAAAGCAUCAACGAUAUAUAUAUGUUUGGUAAAGGCUUUAUUUUGACUAUAAGCAUGAGGAGAAUUUAGCACGGAUUACAACAAGGAAAUACAAUCUAUCAAAGAGCAAUUAUCAUAAUUAAAUUUCUUGAAAUACAAAAUAGUGGGUUCAUUAAUAUCUAAUGUUUUGAUCUCUUCAAUCCCACUUUUAUCAAUUUUAGCAUCAAGAUCUAAAAACUCCGAAUUUCUUGAACGCCUUCUAGGUAAAGGUGGAUCAUAUUCAGUCCCAUCAUUAGCAAGAUUCAUAUUGCACAACAAAGAUUUAAUAGGGGACACAUCAAUAACCUUUAGAUCUUCAUCUUUAUUUUCAUAGAAACUAGAAGAACACGCUUUCAUAAAGCAAUCUUUCUUAGCACGCAUCCUAGCGGUUCUUUCUUUGCACUCAUCAAUGGAAAUUCUCAUGGCUUUGAGAGACUCAUUGAUAUCAUGCUUAGGAGGAAUAGAUCUUAGUUUUAAAGAAUCAACAUCAAGAGAAAUUCUAUCAACGUUCCUAGCCAAUUCAUCAACUUUAAGCAAUUUCUUUUCAAGGAAAGCAUUGAAAUUCUUUUGUGAAUUCAUAAAUUCCUUAACACUAGUCUCAAAUUCAGUGGGCAUCUUAUUAAAAUUUCCAUAAGAAUUAUUGUAGGAAUUACCAUAAUUAUUAGAGAAAUUACUAGGAUAAGGCCUAGGAUUAAAGUUUCCUCUAUACGCGUUGUUACCAAAAUUAUUCCUACCAACAAAAUUUGCAUCCAAAGAUUCAUUAUUAUUCUCAAUAAAAGUAGACAAAGGCAUAUCAUUAGGAUCAGAAGAAACACUAUUAGUAGCAAAUAAUUUCAUAAGUUCAUCCAUCUUUCCACUCAAAACAUUAAUUUCUUUUAUCGCAUGCACUUUUUUAUUAGUAGAUCUUUCAGUGUGCCAUUGAGAAUAAUUAACCAUAAUAUUAUUUAGGAGUUUAGUAGCUUCUCCUAAAGUGAUUUCCAUAAAAGUGCCUCUCGCGGCCGAAUCUAAAAGAUUUCUAGAAGCAAAAUUCAAUCCGGCAUAAAUUUUUUGUAUAAUCAUCCACAAAUUCAAACCAUGCGUGGGGCAAUUACGUAUCAUUAAUUUCAUCCUCUCCCAAGCUUGUGCAACAUGUUCAUGAUCGAGUUGCUUAAAAUUCAUAAUAUUGUUUCUAAGAGAGAUAAUCUUAGCAGGAGGAAAAUACUUAGAGAUAAAAGCAUCUUUGCACUUAUUUCAAGAAUCAAUACUAUUUUUAGGCAAAGACGAAAACCAAGCUUUAGCACGAUCUCUAAGCGAAAAAGGAAAUAGCUUCAAUUUAACAAUAUCAUUGUCAACAUCUUUCUUCUUUUGCAUAUCACACAAAUCAACGAAGCUAUUUAGAUGAGUAGCGGCAUCUUCACUAGGAAGGCCGGCGAAUUUAUCUUUCAUGACAAGAUUCCAACAACAGCCACACACUUGUCUGACACACUGACCCUCAUAAUAGUUAUUCUGAACUCAUUCUGCAAAUACUGGAAAACGGGGAAGGGAUUAAUAAAAGGCCAAACCAACUGUGCAUGCGGCGAUCAUAAAUAGCAAUGUCACUCAGAGCACGAAACCAUGGGGACUUCAGUGCUCGGCGGGUGGGUGGUAGACUGGAUCACUGGAGUCAGUGGUGUCCGUGGUAUCCACCGCCACCGCCGCCGCCGUAAGUGGGCAUGGGAGGGACGGGGUGGUAGUCUGGGUGGGGCUGCGGCUUCGGCUCCGGCUUGGGCACGGGGUGGUAGUCCGGGUGAGGCUGGGGCUUGGGCUCCGGCUUCGGUGGCACCGGCUUCUUGUGGUGGAAGUGCUCGAUGAUGUGCUGCUUGAUCGGCCCGCACAGGGUCAUGGACGCACACUCGGGCGACCCCACGGAUGGCGUGGCGGUGUUGGCGCCGGCGAUGACACCGAAGGUGGUGCCCUCGGACACCGGCACGAUCUUGGAUGGCUCCUGGCCGGGGCACGGCGCUAUGGAGCUGAGCCACGCAGUCGGCGCCAUGGAGGUCAGAAGCGAGGGGCACGCUGAAGGCGCCGAUGCCGUCGAGGGAACCCACCGCCUUGCUCUCGUACUCGCCAUCGACGUUCUUACACUUGAUCGCCACCUGUAGACAUGAGGUACGUUGACAGGAUGACAACCAUGAUCAGAUCUCCAUCUAUAUAGGUGUGUGCAUUGACAUAUAUAGUACGAUUGAGGUGCAUAUCUUACCCUUGAAGGCUUCCCCGGCCUUCAUGUUCUUCCUGGUGCAGUCGGCGCACUUGGCCAGGCCGAUGACCACCGACGUCGCCUCCGCGUUGGCGAUGGCAAUCACGAGCAGGACGGCGAGGACGAGCGCUCUCGGAGCUGCCAUGCCUGAACCUCUACCACUUGUUUGCU
rnacentral:lncRNA from 1 species